GGCCAGAUAAGAGAAUAAAAGCAGGCUGCCCGAGCCAGCAUUGACAACUCGCGGGGAUUGUUUUCCACACCGUGGAAGCUUUGUUCUUUUCGUUUUUUGCAAUAAAUCUUGUUGCUGCUCGCUUUUUGGGUCCACAUUGCUUUUAUGAGCUGUACCACUCACCGUGAAGAUCUGCAGCUUCACUUCAGAGCCUAGCGAGACCACAAGCUCACUGAGAGGAACAAACAACUCCAGACGCGCUGUCUUAAGAGCUAUAACACUCACCGCGAAGGUGUGCAGUUUCACUCCUGAGCUAGUGAGACUACGAAGCCACUGGAACGAAGAAACUCCAACCACGUUUGAACAUCAGAAGGGGCAGACUCCAGACGCUUCAUCUUAAGAGCUGUAACACUCACUGUGAAGGUCUGCAGCUUCACUCCUGAGCCAGCGAGACCACGAACCGAUCUGAACAUCAGAAGGGACAGACUCCAGAUGCCCCACCUUAAGAGCUGUAAUACUCACUGCAAGGGUCUGCAGCUUCAUUCUUGAAGUCAGACCAAGAACCCAGCAAUUCCCAACACACAGGGACCAGCUUCUUUCCUAACUCACUUAGGCUCUUCGUGCUGCUCUGGCAACUAACACCCUUGGCUGCAGGGGCUUGGACACUACCCUUAGUCACUGACAAUUGUGUGAAGGCUGCUGUCGUUAACUUCACUUGAUCACCUUAGGCUCCUGUGAAGUGGUGAGCAAUUCAAACAAAUUCCUGUCGUCAAAUCAUGAUAUACAUCUUUCCACACCAAUAGACCUUGUUUUCCGAUGUAGCAUUAUUUUUCAUAGUUGGCGAAUAUACAGUUAUGGAUUCAUAACAGCAAGAUGGAGAAAUUGCACUGCAGAGAAAUCUUUAAAAGCAAUUACCUAAUACUGCAGAUUGCUGAACUGUACCCACACCCAAGACUGAGCAUUGGAUCAAUCCAGAAUAUACAUCAGGUGUUCUGCAAUGUCUGCCUAAAACCAUGACUCUGCCUCCUCCAGCUGUUGCUACAUCUCACUAUGGGUUUCCUGUGACAUUUUGAGCAAGUAUGCCUCUGUGACUGGGGUUCUUACACUCCAGAAUGGAUGAGAAGCACCGUAAGUGGCUUUUAAAAUGAAUAUUCCCUGGCCCUUCAGUCGCUCUAUAGGUCAAGAAUCUGAAUUCUCAACCUGUCUAGAAGGUUCUGGUUUUAAUGGUCUGUGGGCUGCACAUUGAGAAACCUGUUCAGCGAGUGCAACAAAGGUUCCACAUGUGAGAAAGGAAGCAUCAGGUCUCUUGAGCCUGUUCUUUAAUCUGUAGGCUGCACCUUCUCUUUAAAUUCUGCUAAUAACACCAUGCGAGAAAACACCCGAGCUUGAAAAGCCCAUGUUCCAACAUAACUGUCCUUCACCACUCUGGAAAAUUAAUGGUUUGUUUCGAUUAUCCCUUUGUUAAACUCCAAAGUCAAAGAGCUCUGAAAGGCAUACGGUUAUUUUAAGUUUCAGGUGAUUUCUGUUGCCAAAUAUUUUAAAAAUUUAAAAUUGCUACGUGACCUCUUAGUAGUACUAUUAGAUUUCCUGACAAUAAAAAUAAGUCUUUUGGUUUCACCAUUUAUAGUUAGUACAGCUAAUAUUAAGUAUAAUUUUAAAAGCCUUUUAUUUUCUCAGAAAGAAAAAAUAAUCAAAAUCUGCUCAGUGUGGUAUUGAAUAAUUAAAAACAAAAGAACAGUAUCUUCACAUUAGUGUUUAAUAUUAAUUGCUUUUUUACCCUUGACACUGGUGCUAAUUAAAUUUUCAUUUUAUUUUCCAUGACUUGUUUAAACAGUUUUUGCAAAUUAUUGCUAAUCAGCCUAAUAAAACUGAAUCACCUAUUAAACAAUUUUGUUUUGAAUUAAAUGGCAUUAAAAUAAUUCUGGCUGCCUUGUGUUAUAAUGUGUUACAAGAAUACCAACCGCUACAGGUAAUAUGCCUUAGCUUUUACACAUGCUUUAAAUAAAUCUACGGAUGUAUUUACCUACAUGCACAAACAUGCAAAGAGGCAGUGUUGGUUAGUUGAAUGGGUUUCCGGCUGGAUUUAUUUCCCGUCUACUGUCUUCUCAAGAGGAAAUCUAAGGCAAAUCUCUUCAACAACCUGAAACUUGGUUUUCAUCAUCAGCAAAAUAAGG
rnacentral:lncRNA from 10 species